CUGCCGCCGCCGCCGCUCUCGGAGCCGGCCUGGUGCGGGCAAUGGCCUCGCUGCUGGGCGUCGCGCUGCUGUGCUGCCUGCCCCCCGCGGCGGCCGGGGAGCUGGACGGGAGGUGGCGUAGGCAAAUAGUUUCCUCAACAGGAUUGUGUCGGUUUGGAAGUAGGAUUGACUGUUGCUGGGGCUGGGCCCGUCAUUCGUGGGGGCAGUGCCAACCUUUCUACGUCUUAAGGCAGAGAAUAGCCAGGCUGAGGUGCCAGCUCAAAGCCAUAUGCCAGCCUAGAUGCAAACAUGGUGAAUGUGUUGGAUCAAACAAAUGCAAGUGUCACCCAGGAUACACUGGAAAAACCUGCAACCAAGCCGAGCGCCUGUAUACAACCUCACCUGACCGGCACAGUGAACCACUUUUUUCCUACCCCCUGGAUCAUCGUGCAACCAAUUUACCUUCAAGGGAUCUUAAUGAGUGUGGACUAAAGCCUCGGCCAUGCAAACACCGAUGCAUGAACACCUACGGCAGCUACAAGUGCUAUUGUCUGAAUGGAUACAUGCUCAUGCCGGAUGGAACGUGUUCUAAUGCCCUUUCUUGUUCUAUGGCUAACUGUCAGUAUGGCUGUGAUGUAGUGAAAGGAGAGGUCCGCUGCCGGUGUCCUUCGCCAGGGUUGCAGCUAGGGCCUGAUGGCAGGACCUGUGUAGAUGUUGAUGAGUGUGCUACUGGGAGAGUUAUCUGUCCCAGAUUUAGGAAAUGUGUUAACACUUUUGGGAGCUACAUUUGCAAGUGCCAUAAAGGCUUCGAUUUAAUGUACAUUGGAGGCAAAUAUCAAUGCCAUGAUAUAGAUGAAUGCUCAAUUGGCCAAUAUCAGUGUGGUGGUUUUUCCCGUUGUUACAAUACACAGGGAUCCUACAAGUGUAAAUGUAAAGAAGGCUACAGAGGUGAUGGAACAAACUGCAUACUUAUUCCUAAAGUUAUGAUUGAACCAUCAAGUCCAUAUAACAUAUUCAAAGGCAACAGUACACGUCUUAAGGGCAGCAGUGGUAUGACCAAUAGGGUUCCUGAUAAUGGAAGCACAAGACAGCCACUUAGACCACCACAUAUACCUGCUGUUAUUACAGCAAGGCCUGCACCCAAGCCAACAGUAAGACCUACGCCCAAGCCAACUACCAGAUUUGCACCAAAGCAGGUUACAACAAGACCAGUACUGAAACCAGCAACAAGGCCUCCACCACCUCCACAACCAACAACAUCAGUGAGUACACCACCACCAGAAAGAACGCCAGGGUUAACAAUGAAAGACCCUUCCCUUGUGCUUGCGGAAGCUACCUCUACCCCUGGAAUUACAGUUGACAACAGGAUACAAAUAGAUCCGCAGAAACCAAGAGGGGAUGUUUUUAUUCCACGCCAGCCAGGAGUGAGCAAUAAUCUAUUUGAAAUAUUUGAAAUUGAAAAAGGGAUUAGUGCAGAUGAGUAUGAAGCAAAUGAUGAUCCAGGUAGGCUACUUACAAAUACAUCCAGAGGAUUCUGGAGGCCCAAGCUUCUAUGUGUAUUUCCAAAAUGCCUGCUGGAGGAAGCCCCCCCCCGACCAGGUAUCCUGGUGCACAGCUGUAACUUUGAUAGUGGUCUCUGUGGCUGGAUCAAGGAUAAAGAUGAUGAUUUACAUUGGGAACCAGUUGCCAAUCCAUCAGAAUUGAGAAGACCAGAAAAGAAGAAGUAUUGGCGAAGCCUGGGGCGUUUUGACUGGGGUGUGACAACACGACUGCUGGGAUUAAAACCUAGAGGUGGACGGUAUCUUACAGUCUCUGAAUCCAAGGACAAAGAGGGAAGAGUAGCACGUCUGGUCCUGUCUCUUGGCCAGUUGGCUCAUUCAGGGGACUUGUGUCUGUCCUUUAGACACAAGGUAUCUGGACUACAUCCUGGUGCACUCCAAGUAUUUGUGAGAAAAAAUGGUACUCAUGGACCAGCAGUCUGGGGAAGAAGUGGUGGCCAUGGUUGGAAACAAACACACUUAACUUUACAUGGCUCAGGCCUCAAGAGCGUUAUUUUCAAAGGCGAAAAAGGAAAAGGGAGAACUGGCGACAUUGGACUGGAUGAUGUGAGCUUAAAGAAAGGCCACUGCUCUGAAAGACAUUAGCAAUGCAAGUCGACUGGCAAAGAACAUCUGUUAAUCUCCCCUUUCCCCUUAAUCCUACUCCCAUCAAGUGCGUAACCCCCCUCCCCUGAUCCUUUGGGCAAAAAGGAGAAAUAUUUAAAGAGUGACCACUUUUUGUUUGCUUAUUUUGUGCAAUCCUAGUGAACUUCCACUUAUAUAAUGUCUAAGGACACAAACUCCAAGCCAGUAUUGGAUGCUGCCGUUAACUUGUUCCUGAUCAUUCCAUGCCUACAGGAUGAUCAUAUUGAAAGUCUUCUCCCCACACUUCUUAUACCCCAUUAAAGGGGCAAAUUGUAGCUAAAGGGUGUAUUUACACGAGACAUACUGCGUAUUGGCCUAAUAAUGCUGAAGUAGCGUGUCAUGACAAAAACUGUGCUAAUAGUCUACUGUGCAGUUAUUAUUAGGCUAAUGCACACUAAGUGUAACUAAAUAACCAUGCACUGGUGCUACUGCACAGUAACUUUAGGUAUUACACAUUUAGUUUAGUACUUUAUUGAAGAAGUACUAAACUAAAUGCAUAGUAAUGAAUGUGUAGACGUGCCCAAAUACUACUAAAAGAUAUCACCAGCUCAGACAACAAUGGUAAUAGCUGCCAUUCUGUAUUUCCCCAUAGUGCUGCUAUUUCAGCAAUAUACAAUUAAAUUGAUUUGACUUCAUAAUUUGAAUCUAACUCAGGCCUGGAUACGAACUUUGGCUAUUUUACUGCCAUUGGUUUUUAAAGAAGGGUUUGUUACAUAUCAAGUAUCAUUUAUUCUGAUACUGUAUCCAUAUUAACAAUAGGUAGUUUACAUAAAGUAGACACUACAUCUCCUUAAUAUUGCUACUGCUGUUUUGUGUAAAUGUAUAUGGUUAACGUAUUUAUGUUUUUAAUAUUUAGAUUCUAGUUGUGAGGUAAACGGCAGCUGUGCUCUCAGCCUAAACUACAGUAUAUGUGAGCACAACGUGUUUUUUGACCCUCUGUGUGUGUCCAUUGAUAAAUCAAUAGUGAUUUGAUGAUUUCCAGACAGUAUCUUUUUCUCUAAAUAAUAGUGCAAUUUUUUAUAUUAUAAGAUAACUGCAAGCAAGAGACUAGAUCCUCAGCUGAUGUGAAUUGGUAACUCAAUGGUUGAUGUAAAGAAUAACCACAAUGAAGAGGGGAUAUGUUAUUAAUUACCUUUCCUGUUGCUGUGAGUGACGGACUUAAUCAGACUAGAAUUAAGCUGGAUGUCAAUGAUUUUGAAAAUCUCAUCUCCACGACAUUACCUCCAAAGGAUCCUCAGAGAUUGAUUUGGUCUUGGAAACCAUUCCAGUUCAUCUGAAGAAAAUUAUAACAAGCCACAGCGUGAUUUGUCUUAGUACUGACCCAAGUCACUCCUGACAUUCACACACAGGAGGACUCUCAGUAGCAAACCACCACUUUCCUCUAUUGUACUCUUUUUAAAGAGAAAAAGCACAAUAGUUGUUUGUGUGAUAAUAUACAAAUAUGGAUAAAACUACAUCAACUGUUCCUCUAGUUAUCUGUUCCCCUAUCAGUGAUGCCUUAUGAGCAGGAAUCCAGAUUUCCCAUUCACCAAGGAAAAACAUCAUAAAACCUGGAUUUUCCUCUUUAAAGGAGAAAAGUGUGGGAAAUGAUGGGCUUCCCCUUGCAGGCUGGAAGAGUUCCAGCCUGCAAGAGGCUGGGGGGAGUGGGAAGAAGGCGGUCAGGCAGGGGGCGCCAUGUGCAUGUACACAUACACAUGGCUGCCAGGCGAGCAGCUCCCACAGGUCAAUCUGGUGGGGGGCGGAGAGGUGGGUGGACUUGAGGCUCCCAUUGUAAGGGAGGGAGGGAGUUGGACAGGGCUAGGGUUUCUUUCCAGCAGGGCAGGGAGCAGGACAGAGCUGGGGGUAGCAGUGGGGACUGGCUUUCUGCCACUGCGUGUACUCCUGUGGGGGCAAGGGGAAGAACAUGUCCCCCAGAUUUGUGCACAGGGUGGGGGCAGCUGUGGGCUUAUGCUCCCUACUCUGCUGCCUUCCUACCCAGUGCAGCAGGGCAGAGAAGAAGUGCAGUGCUGCCACCGCAAGCCUCACGCCACCAUAGCAAGGUGCCCAACCAGCAGCAGCAGGGGCGACGGGAUGGAGUUGUGCCCCUCACUGCUGCUGGGUGGGCAGAGGGCACCUUGUCAUGGUAGUUUGGAGCUUGCACAAGCAACGAGCUUCCCCACCCAGCCCCACUCUGCCCUGCCAUGCCGGGGCCCACCUGCUGGGUUGAGGAGGCCCUGUGGGGAGGGCAGCAGGGUGGGGAGCUCGAGCCCGCAGCGGGCAGCCCGCACCUGUUCCCCUAACAGGCUCUGCUCCAUCCAUGAUGCCCAUGGGGGAGGGGGAGCCGGGAUCUGCACUCUGCUCUGCCAUAGCAUCUUCCACCUCCUGCUGGCAACAGCCAGGGCUUGGAUGCAGCUGCAGGGGGCAAGGAACUUUGCACCCAGGUCCCUGGCCCAUAACCCUGGCAGCUGGGGGCCCCCUCCAGCAG